UACGGGGGGGGCAAGCGUUGUUCGGAAUUACUGGGCGUAAAGAGCGUGUAGGCGGCCCGAUAAGUCCGCUGUGAAAGUCCAGGGCUCAACCCUGGGAUGCCGGUGGAUACUGUCGGGCUCGAGUCCGGAAGAGGAGUGUGGAAUUCCUGGUGUAGCGGUGAAAUGCGUAGAUAUCGAGAGGAACACCUGCGGCGAAGGCGGGUUGCUGGGCUGAUACUGACGCUGAGGCGCGAAAGCCAGGGGAGCGAACGGG
rnacentral:rRNA from 1 species